UACGUAGGGUGCAAGCGUUGUCCGGAAUUAUUGGGCGUAAAGAGCUCGUAGGCGGUUUGUCGCGUCUGCUGUGAAACCCGAGGCUCAACCUCGGGCCUGCAGUGGGUACGGGCAGACUAGGGUGCGGUAGGGGAGACUGGAAUUCCUGGUGUAGCGGUGGAAUGCGCAGAUAUCAGGAGGAACACCGGUGGCGAAGGCGGGUCUCUGGGCCGAUACUGACGCUGGAGGAGCGAAAGCGUGGGAGCAAACAGG
rnacentral:rRNA from 1 species